GUUGAUCUCUAGAGAACUGGAGUCCCUCUCUCCGUCGUUUUCUUCUCUCUCGCUCCUCUUACCGCUGACGCUCGAGACGGUGCUGUUUGGCGACGAAACCAUCAAUUCUUCGUCACAGACAUCUGCCGCUGUUAUCGCCAGUGCUUGAAGAUUUGCGCUGCUUCAUAAAAUUAGGCAACGGACAUCCAAAAAGAUUCAAAGGGAAAGGAGAAGCCGCAGUUGGAAGCGGCGACGGCGACGGCGGAGGAUUAGAAUUUUGAUUCUGCAGACAUUUCAAGCUCAAACUCAACCCUAAUCCAUCAUCUUUCUCAACCAUCUCGCACUUCCUGUCGCCUCUCUCUCUCUCUCUCUCUCUCUUCGGAUUAACAAGUGAGAUGAGAUACACAUACAUGUACAUGUAUGUAUGUAGAGAUGUUUAUAGAGAUACAAGGCAAGAAGACAGGCACAUGGGCAAUGAUGAGGUUUGUCAGAGUUUGCUAUUGGCUCAAUCAUGAUCGUCAUAUGGAGGAGUUCAGCCGACCGUUGACGCCGGAGCUGUGAUGUGAUUUUUCUCGUGUCAAGUGAAACGGGGCGUUCCACUUCCACCUCAACGCGCCUGCGGAAGCUCGUGAAUCGACAAUGGCCCCACUUCCACCUUGCGAGCGUGUGGUGCACGUGUAUUGGGCCUUAAAUUUCUAAGUAGGUGGCCACGUGGGGGGACAAAGGUGGGACGCUCGUGCGCUAGAGGCUGUCGCUUUCCGUCCGGACACCAACUUGGGUACAAUGAUGGGGUACGCUCUAAUCUUUUCCAUCAUUCCCCAUCAUACUCUUUUUUUUUUUUUUUUCAAAAAGAAUAAUAUUAUUAUUAAA